UGCCUUUAUGUGUUGCCCUUUCACUGUUCCUGUGGUGAUUGGGGUGUCAAAUAAGGCAUACAGUGAUGGUUGUGGUUGUCUACGAAAUGAGAUUUAAAGAAACUCAUUUACACAAACAACUACAUGG